rnacentral:rRNA from 1 species
UAGGGAAUCUUCCACAAUGGGCGGAAAGCCUGAUGGAGCAACGCCGCGUGUGUGAUGAAGGGUUUCGGCUCGUAAAACACUGUUGUAAGAGAAGAAUGACAUUGAGAGUAACUGUUCAAUGUGUGACGGUAUCUUACCAGAAAGGAACGGCUAAAUACGUACCAG